AUGGGCUUUAUUUUUGGAAACUGUGGAACGUUCAGACCCUCGACGGCAAGUAAGGGGAGGGGAGCCUGUCAAAUCAUGCCGAGCCGAGCCAUCUUUGGUCAGAGGAGCAAAGAAGCCAUGCAAGGUGGAGUUUGGGGAAGGGAAGAUGCAGAUGUGCAUAAACCGCUGGCAGCAGAGCACAGCCAGCUGUCCACGGGGACCUGGUGGAGGCGAAGUCUGAUUUGGUUCCCUAAUCAAAUUGGAGUGAGGGGGAGGGAUGGGCCGUUACGGCUGUGGAAAUUUCUCUUUUACUUUAUUUCUUGCUUUUUAGGGUGGCACCUUCAGCAUGUGGAGGUUCCCAGGUGUGGCCCUAAAAAGAAGAAAAUUAAAAAAGUACAGAGUCUUUGAGCCAACAAUUCCCUUCUAGGAAUUAACCUAUAAGACACUCCCACCAGCCCUCCCACACUGAUGCAAUGAGCCUGAAGAUGGUACAGGGUGAAUAAUUUGUUCACCAACACUGGGAAACCCUCUCCCUCAAAGGCAGGUCGCAGGCAGCGGCCGAGGGUAUAAUGGGGGAAAAGAGGAUCCCUGAACCUUGCUGAGGGGAGCAGGUAUGGGUGCAGUUUUGUUGGAGGCAAUUUUGCAGUAGCCAUCUACUGCAAACCUCGAUCAGAAAAGUGCAGGAGUUCCCGUUGUGGGUGAGCGAAAAGAUACGUGCACUAUCUACAACAGUCCAAACAUGGGAGCAGCCAAAAUGUCCAUGGACAGAUAAAGGAAGAAAGAAACUAUAUGUGGUAGCUAUAUGCAGUGGAAUAUUACUCAGCCAUAAAAAAGAAUGAAAUGAUGCCAUUCGCAGCAACAUGGAUGGAACUAGAGCUGAUCAUACUAAGUGAAAGUAAGUCAGACGAAUAUCACGUGAUAUCACUUCCGUGUGGAAUCUUAACAAAUCAUGCAAGUGAACUUACAAAACAGAAACAGACUCACAGACUUCAAAAACACACUCUGGUUCCCAAAGGGGGCGGGUGGUGGGGAGGGAUGGAUUGAGGGUUUGAGACUGGCAGGUGUGCCCUGUGCUACGUGAAAUGGAGGAUCAGCAGGGACCAUACAGCACAGGGAACUCUACCCGAUAUUCUGUAAUAACUUAGAUGGGCAAAGACUCUGACAAAGAAUGGCUAUGUGUUUAUCUGAAUCACGUCGCUGUAAGAGCAGAAAUUAUCCAAACAUUGUACCGCAACUGUACUUCCACAAAACUUUAAAACAUGAGGGGGGGGACCCUCCCAUCUAUUUUCAAAGACAUAAGAAGAAGGACACACACAGUCACACAUUUAUAUUUAUAUGUAAGUGUGUAGCCCGUCUCCAAAAAUGGCCCCAACAAUUUUCCCGCCUCGUGCACAGGCGCAGGUGCUGCUUCCACAGGAAGAGGAAGAGCUUGUCUCCCAUGCCCUUGAACGUGGGCCUGUCCGGUGACUGGAGUAGAUCAAGAGAAUGUGGCAGAAGUGACAUUCGGGAAGCCAGCCCCAUGUGAUGAGAAACCCAAGCCACACGACGAGUGAGAGGACAGCCCGAGAGCUCCUGGUGACAGCCCAGCUCAACGCCCGGCCACCAGCCAGCACCAGCAGCCAGCGGGCACACUCUGGACUUUGCAUUCUCGCCACCAUUGCCUGAGGCCAAAGAACCCCUCAAUCCACACAGACACGAGGAAAAUAGAAGUUGUUCUUCUGGAGCUCUCAUCACGGCGCAGUGGAAACCAAUCCAACUAGGAACCAUGAGGUUGCAGGUUCGAUCCCUGGCCUCGCUCAGUGGGUGAGGGAUCCAGCGUUGCUGUGAGCUGUGGUGUAGGUCGCAGACGUGGCUCGGAUCCGGCGUUGCUGUAGCUGUGGUGUAGACUGGCAGCUGGAUAUCUGAUAGGACCCUUAGCCUGGGAACCUCCAUAUGCCGCGGGUGUGGCCCUAAAAAGACAAAAAAAGAAAGUUCUAAACCAUUAAGUUUUAAGAGCUUUGUUCCUCACAAUAGAUCUGAGAAACAGUCUUCAUUGCCAUCUUGUAUGAAAUAAAGAAAAACUGGGGGAGUUCCCA
rnacentral:lncRNA from 1 species